ACCAAAGCAAUUGCUGUUUAUUCAUAAAGAUUUGAAAACCAGAGUUAAUGUAACAGAUAAGGAAUAUGUUACCAGUUUGAAAUAUAAAGAUUUGAAAGCAGUUGUUACAGAAUCCGGAAGUCUAGAUAUGAAAAUGGAUUGGAAUGAUCAAGAUGGCUGUUUUGUAACAAAGAUAAAAACAGGACGAACUGAAGCGGAAGUCAAAGCAUAUUUUGCUUUAUUAAUUGAACAUAUGCAUGAAAACAAAUUUCAAACGGUUAAUUUGUUUUUUCAAAACAUAUCUUCAGAGGUCACAGUCAAUAAACAGUUGAGGAUUCUUAUGCGUGAAAUACAGCAUCAUGGAGAUCGAAUUAAUAAGAACAAUUCAACAAAAACUGGGUUACCAGCAAUAAAUUAUGUUAAACUCGUGAGAGUUUUCCUCAAGUCUGAAGAUUAUGCAGAAAUAGAAACAGAAUAUAUGCAGUCAAAUGACAAGCAGGAGGAAAAUAAACAUGGUAAAUGGAAAUGGCAUGUCUCAGAUCAGUCAUCCUUUCCAUUCAUUGUGGAGGUUGUUGGACCAAGGAGUACGGCUGAAGAUGUGUAUAACAAAGUUGUGCAAGACAUUUCGUCUAUUUAGUUAUAUUUGGUGUGCCAAAAGAGCUGUGUGCUAAGGAGUAUUAUGGAGCAGUUAUAGAGCAGAAAAUCUCCAAGUUCAUCAGUUUGAGAAAUACACUUUAUUGACAAAGACAGAGGAAUGUGCAGGCUGAUACAGGAAACAUUUGAGAAGGAAUUUGGUAUCAAAGGUCAAAAUGUGAUGUAGCAUUUUGUAAAGAUAAUGUUUGUUGAUUUGAUUAUUUUUAGAGAGCGCAUAUUAGUAGUGUCAAUCAUUUUCCACUGUACUUAACUAUGCAUUGUGUAUUUCAUUGUCCAUUUUGGUUGUACCAAUAAUACUUAAAUCGUGUAUAUUAUGUUAUAGAAAAUAUAGUUCUGUCUAUAAACAUCCUGCAGGCUUUUUCUGGCAUUUUGUUUUCAAAUAUAACUUAAAUCAUGGAAAAAGCAUAAUUUGCUGAAUAUGUCCACCAGAAUUUCUUGCAUUAUCCUUAAACUUUCCUUUGCGUUGGACUAAUAUGUGUUGAGUAAUCACGUAGUGUCUGAUAUGGAAAAGGACAUGUUAUAAUUUAUUUUUAACAUAUGCUGCCAGUAAGGUGAAUACUUUUAAAUGUGUAACAAUUUUCUUUACAAUAAUUAGGUAAUAACGGAUUUAUUGUUUGUUAGAUAGAACUGUUCAAAUUAAAUUUCUAAACUUUAUUCAUUUAUUUUCAACAUUUACUCCAUAAAAAGUUAUUGUUGAAUUUCUAUUUAGUUUUGAACUAUGGUAUACUUAGAUUUAGUGUGUCUUGAUUAGAAAUAUUAUGCAAUGUAU